rnacentral:rRNA from 1 species
UACACACGGAUAACAUACCGAAAGGUAUGCUAAUACGGGAUAAUAUAUUUGAGAGGCAUCUCUUAAAUAUCAAAGGUGAGCCAGUACAGGAUGGACCCGCGUCUGAUUAGCUAGUUGGUAAGGUAAAGGCUUACCAAGGCGACGAUCAGUAGCCGACCUGAGAGGGUGAUCGGCCACAUUGGAACUGAGACACGGUCCAAACUCCUACGGGAGGCAGCAGUGGGGAAUAUUGCACAAUGGGCGAAAGCCUGAUGCAGCAACGCCGCGUGAGUGAUGAAGGCCUUCGGGUCGUAAAACUCUGUCCUCAAGGAAGAUAAUGACGGUACUUGAGGAGGAAGCCCCGGCUAACUACGUGCCAGCAGCCGCGGUAAUACGUAGGGGGCUAGCGUUAUCCGGAUUUACUGGGCGUAAAGGGUGCGUAGGCGGUCUUUCAAGUCAGGAGUGAAAGGCUACGGCUCAACCGUAGUAAGCUCUUGAAACUGGGAGACUUGAGUGCAGGAGAGGAGAGUGGAAUUCCUAGUGUAGCGGUGAAAUGCGUAGAUAUUAGGAGGAACACCAGUUGCGAAGGCGGCUCUCUGGACUGUAACUGACGCUGAGGCACGAAAGCGUGGGGAGCAAACAGGAUUAGAUACCCUGGUAGUCCACGCUGUAAACGAUGAGUACUAGGUGUCGGGGGUUACCCCCUUCGGUGCCGCAGC